AGUGAACGCUGGCGGUAGGCCUAACACAUGCAAGUCGAACGGCAGCACAGUAAGAGCUUGCUCUUACGGGUGGCGAGUGGCGGACGGGUGAGGAAUACAUCGGAAUCUACUUUUUCGUGGGGGAUAACGUAGGGAAACUUACGCUAAUACCGCAUACGACCUACGGGUGAAAGCAGUGGAUCUUCGGACCUUGCGCGAUUGAAUGAGCUGAUGUCGGAUUAGCUAGUUGGCGGGGUAAAGGCCCACCAAGGCGACGAUCCGUAGCUGGUCUGAGAGGAUGAUCAGCCACACUGGAACUGAGACACGGUCCAGACUCCUACGGGAGGCAGCAGUGGGGAAUAUUGGGCAAUGGGCGCAAGCCUGAUCCAGCCAUACCGCGUGGGUGAAGAAGGCCUUCGGGUUGUAAAGCCCUUUUGUUGGGAAAGAAAAGCAGCAGGUUAAUACCCCGCUGUUCUGACGGUACCCAAAGAAUAAGCACCGGCUAACUUCGUG
rnacentral:rRNA from 1 species